CGUGGAGCGGCUGAAUGGAGACGGGGAGGAAUUGGAAUGACUAGGGAUACAGAGGGGAUGGGAGCAGAAAUUAAUGUUCUGGUAGGUGGGUUUGAAUCCCACCAUGUCAGGUAAAGCUAACUAUUAACACACUGCUACUAUGUAGUAGCAAUGUGAGUGAUGUUCACCAUUAACUGGAUGUUGCUGUCAAGCCAAAGAAAUGUUCUGCCCAUCACACAAUUUUGACAGCUGCUUUCUCCAAAUCUGGUAGUUUCUCUGUAAGGUUUGACAGCGGCAUUUCCAAUAUUGGUGUCUCCAUGACUUCUGAAGUAAUAUCUUUGGUCCUCAUCUGUUCCUGGAUAUCUUUGUUUGUUUGACCAUUCUCACCAAAAAUAUCUGAAAUUUGCUUGUUAUU